rnacentral:rRNA from 1 species
UACAGGGGGUGCUAGCGUUGUUCGGAAUUACUGGGCGUAAAGGGCGCGUAGGCGGCCUUGUAAGUCAGAUGUGAAAUCCCCGGGCUUAACUCGGGACGUGCAUUUGAAACUGCGAGGCUAGAGUGCAGUAGAGGUUGGUGGAAUUCCCAGUGUAGAGGUGAAAUUCGUAGAUAUUGGGAGGAACACCGGUGGCGAAGGCGGCCAACUGGGCUGCAACUGACGCUGAGGCGCAAAAGCGUGGGGAUCAAACAGG